rnacentral:lncRNA from 1 species
GCCAGGGAGGGUUUAGCCACAGAUGUGUUGUAUUUUUGAAAGUGCAAUAACUUGGUAUUUUGAAGACUCGGCAUGUGGCCAGGGCCCCCACCCCUGGCAGCAGGCGGGGCCCCAGGCUGCACCGUGAGGCGUGGUGGGGGUGGGUCUCAGUUUUCUAGCCAGCUACCUCGGUAACUCCAAUUCAGGUUAACUUCCCUAGGGAACAGUGCAGGUGUCCACGGACACCGCCUCCUCGGUGGGGUGGGGGCUGCCACUUCGGAGGGGUGGCACGGACCUGCCUGGCCUCUCCAUUUGGGGUGGUUCCUCCCCCAUCUUCUUGCUCUUGGGUUUUCCGACGGGUACAAGGCCUGCCCGGCUCCCCCCUCCCCCGGGAGCCUCACUCUGGUCUUCCAACAGGACUGGGCGUCAGCUCCCCGCCCGGCUCCACCCGCCCCCCAGUGGCUCCCAGCCUGGGGGGUGGUUCAACGACCAUGGGGGCUCCCGCAGCGGCCCCAGACGCCUCCACUGGGUGCCCAGCCCCCCGCCCAACACCCUUGUCCCCUGGAGGCCGCACCUGGUUCUCCAAGACCGCCUGUGCCCGCCGUUCUUUUUUUGCUUUUAUUCUUCCCUGCACCCCUCACCCUCAGACCCCAGAAUAAUUUUUCUUUGUAUGAACAGAACUCUCCUAGUCAGGAAGCAAUAUCAUUUCAGGUCUAGAGAAGAAAGGGACGUAAAUCUGGUCGAGGGCAAAUUCAGUUUUGCUGUAUAAACUCGGUUGCGAGUUCGCCCCUCUGUCUGCACCGCAGCUGAGGGCCACUGUUUUCUAAUAUUUGUAUUCUAAUUUAAUUGUUUUUAAAACGCAAAUAAAAAGUCAAGGUGAAGCUACCAUAGUGUCCGCCUCUCUGUGGGUCGGGGGCCAUGGCCGGGAGCAGAGGACAAAGCCAGAAGCCCAUCCACGCUCCAUGCUCCUGGCUGUGCCAAGGGACCUUCUGGCUUCAGGAGGCACAGCAUCCAGUCCAGUCAGAAAGGUUCUACCUUGAACUUCGAGGUUCAGUGUGUGUCUGCUGGGCCGGGCCAGUUCAGAAGAGCCACCAAAAUACAAGGAGGGUCCCUGCUCACUCUGAGGGGCCAAGAAGAUACGCACAUGGCUAAUAAGCUCAUAGAAAGAUAUCACCAGUCAACGGGAAUAUGUGCUCCUCAUCCCCACUAAGAUGGCUAGUCAGCAAGGAUCAGGGAGAAGUGAGGCCCUGGAGCAGCCGCAGUGGGAGAGCCCCGGCCAGGGUUGCCAUUUGGCCCAAUGGCUCUGCUCAGGUGUCUUCCCGAAAGGUAAAUGAAAACAGGUUCACAUAAACACUGGUACAUAAGUGUUUGUGUGGUCAUAGCAGCAUGAUUCACAACAGCCAAAAAGUGGUUGGGAAACAACCCAGAUGUCUGUCAACAGAUGGACAGACACACACCAUGCACUCCAUCCACAGUGGAUUAUGCGGGUGCUAAGUCACUUCAGUCGUGUAUGACUCUUUGCAACCCCAUGGACGGUAGCCCGCCAGGCUCCUCUGUCAAGGGAUUCUCC